AUGUAACGGAAGUUUUCGGAUGGAAGAUGCGUAUCUUAGUGGCGGACGGGUGAGUAACGCGUGGGUAACCUGCCGUAUACAGGGGGAUAACACCUGGAAACAGGUGCUAAUACCGCAUAAGCGCCCGGUAUCGCAUGAUACCGAGUGAAAAGCCGAGACGGUAUACGAUGGACCCGCGUCUGAUUAGCCAGUUGGCAGGGUAACGGCCUACCAAAGCAGCGAUCAGUAGCCGGCCUGAGAGGGUGAACGGCCACAUUGGGACUGAGACACGGCCCAAACUCCUACGGGAGGCAGCAGUGGGGAAUAUUGCACAAUGGGGGAAACCCUGAUGCAACAACGCCGCGUGAGUGAAGAAGUAUUUCGGUAUGUAAAGCUCUAUCAGCAGGGAAGAAGAUGACGGUACCUGAUUAAGAAGCCCCGGCUAACUACGUGCCAGCAGCCGCGGUAAUACGUAGGGGGCAAGCGUUAUCCGGAUUUACUGGGUGUAAAGGGAGCGCAGACGGCAGUGCAAGUCUGGAGUGAAAGCCCGGGGCCCAACCCCGGAACUGCUCUGGAAACUGUGCGGCUAGAGUACUGGAGGGGCAGGCGGAAUUCCUAGUGUAGCGGUGAAAUGCGUAGAUAUUAGGAGGAACACCAGUGGCGAAGGCGGCCUGCUGGGCUUUUACUGACGCUGAGGCUCGAAAGUGUGGGGAGCAAACAGGAUUAGAUACCCUGGUAGUCCACACCGUAAACGAUGAUUACUAGGUGUGGGGGGUCUGACCCCCUCCGUGCCGGAGCAAACGCAAUAAGUAAUCCACCUGGGGAGUACGGCCGCAAGGUUGAAACUCUAAGGAAUUGACGGGGGCCCGCACAAGCAGUGGAGUAUGUGGUUUAAUUCGAAGCAACGCGAAGAACCUUACCAGGUCUUGACAUCGGAUGCAUAACCUAGAGAUAGGCGAAGUCCUUCGGGACAUCCAGACAGGUGGUGCAUGGUUGUCGUCAGCUCGUGUCGUGAGAUGUUGGGUUAAGUCCCGCAACGAGCGCAACCCUUGUAUUCAGUUGCUACGCAAGAGCACUCUGGAUAGACUGCCGUUGACAAAACGGAGGAAGGUGGGGAUGACGUCAAAUCAUCAUGCCCCUUACGACCUGGGCCACACACGUACUACAAUGGCGCACAACAGAGGGAAGCAAGACAGCGAUGUGGAGCAAACCCCUAAAAUGCGUCCCAGUUCAGAUUGCAGGCUGCAACCCGCCUGCAUGAAGUCGGAAUUGCUAGUAAUCGCGGAUCAGCAUGCCGCGGUGAAUACGUUCCCGGGCCUUGCACACACCGCCCGUCA
rnacentral:rRNA from 1 species